CGCUUCUCUCUUGCUCCGCCUCCGUCAAAAUUUCCCCAGCCGUCCAGCCCUACCUCGCUCUCCCCGCCUCCCCGAUGGCCUCCGACGGUCGCGGUCGGCGGGGGUGCCGCCGGUCGGUCGCUUACCGCACAUCUAUACGCCGGUGGUCGCCCUCGCCGUUCUUUUCCCUGUCCGCGCGGAUCUGGCGGCACCGUGCCUGCUGUGCAUCUCCGCUGGCGGCAAGGUUGAGCCGGUGCUUGCCCGGCGCCGUGCGCUCGUGGGGUGGGAGGGCCUCGGGGCAGCAGAGGGAACGGCUACGGAUCCGGUCGGCCCCACGGUGGAUCUCUGACCUAGCGGUGGCUCUUCGCGGCGGCGGCUUUAGCUACUCCUUUCUCGCCGCAAGGAUGACGGCAUAAGAUGCCUGUGCCUCGCCUCGCCUCGUCGGCUUCUCCACCACCACUCUCUCUCUCUCUCUCUCUCUGAAUCUCUCUCUCCUCCGCCGCCGCCUCCUCUCGCUUCCACUUCUCGCUGCCGCACGAACCCUACGAGUCCCUCCUCGCCAUGUCGGCCUCGGCCGC
rnacentral:lncRNA from 1 species